rnacentral:rRNA from 1 species
UACGUAGGUGGCAAGCGUUGUCCGGAUUUAUUGGGUUUAAAGGGUGCGUAGGCAGUUCUCUAAGUCAGUUGUGAAAUACUUCAGCUUAACUGGAGAGGUGCAAUUGAUACUGGAGAACUUGAGUACUGAUGAGGUAGGCGGAAUGGACGGUGUAGCGGUGAAAUGCUUAGAUAUCGUCCAGAACACCGAUAGCGAAGGCAGCUUACUAAGGAGUAACUGACGCUGAGGCACGAAAGUGUGGGGAUCAAACAGG